rnacentral:rRNA from 1 species
GUGGAUUAGAUACCCUAGUAGUCCACACUGUAAACGAUGGAUACUAGGUGUAGGGGAUAAUAAAUCUUCUGUGCCGCCGCUAACGCAAUAAGUAUCCCACCUGGGGAGUACGGCCGCAAGGUUGAAACUCAAAGGAAUUGACGGGGGCCCGCACAAGCAGUGGAGUAUGUGGUUUAAUUCGACGCAACGCGAAGAACCUUACCAGGGCUUGACAUAUAAGUGAAUAAUUAAGAGAUUAGUUAGUUCUUCGGAACACUUAUACAGGUGGUGCACGGUCGUCGCCAGCU